AAGUAUGGCCUCACGCGGAGAUGGUGGUACGACGGUGCAUUUGACCUAGUAAUCUCUCUCGAUCAUGUUCACAGACCAUCAUCACAUGCCUAAGCGAGAAUUAUUGCUCAGUUGUUUUAUUGCAUUUUAUUAAGCCUUAUUUUGUGGGAUUUAUUAUUUUCGUUCUCAUCGUGUCCUCCCCAACCAAUGUAAACUAUACAUAUGUACAUGCCUAUUAGAGCACCAUCGACGCAGUCUCUUGUGCAUGUGUCUGUUAGAUUAAUUGUGAUUAAAAAAAUGAAAAAUAGAAAAACACAGAAGACAUGUUUCUUAAUCAAGCUCUGUAAACAACGUCUCUUAUGAGACAACUGUCAAAACAUGAGUGGGUGGAGGUGAGGUUUGGUGUUUCGACCUUUUCGGCUUCUGCAAACAUCAUCCAUGGUUGCUGCUGCUCACACCUUCCUCUCCUUCUCAUUGCCUCCGCGCCUCCUCGUUUCUCCUUCGUCAACUCUCCGUUCCUCUUUCGGCGGCAUCUCUCUCAACCUCCACCGUCGCCAAUGUGUUUCCUUCUCCGCCUCCUCGAAGAAAUCACUAACAGUGGUUUCAGCUGCGAAGGAAGCUCUCGCCGUGCUCAAGGGUAACUCCGAUGUCGAAGGAGUUGUUACUUUGACACAAGAAGACACAGGUUAGAUCAGGAACAAAUCCGCUUGAAUGAGCUGCCUUAGAGAUGGCAAUACUUGAAUCUUUUGCAGAAAGCGGUUCUCUGUUCACCAUGGCAACCACACAUCACGGAGAGCUUAAGAUGCUUAAAUACAGCAAUUCUUGCGUUGGAGAAUGCUUGCAUGGAGUUUGAUGACCUGAACUUGAAGCCCACUUUCAAAAUCUUGUGGGGAGUACCAGGUCGUCCGAAUGCAAUAAACAUAGCCGAAAGAUUGGGGCUUCCAUGUGAUAUCAUCAACAGUGCUCGUGGACUAUAUGGUUCUGCAAGUGCGGAGAUCAAUGAGGUCAUACUUGCAGUGCCGGUCUUGAGUUUAGAACGACUAGAAGCAAGAAAAAAAAAUGGGCUGCUAUGUAUGUUCAUUAAAAGUAACAUUUGGCUAUAGGGGAGGUUCGAACCCAGGGAAUUGUAAGUGUGCACUGAUACCUAGCCACUGCACCAAAGGCGCUAAACAGAAUUGAAGGCCGAAAUUUUGUUUAUGAAGUUGACGGCCGGAAGCUAAUGCUUCUGCCGCUUCCCCUCAAGGCCGGUACUGCAUACUUGACAUGGAACGGUACAAGCAAGAUUAUCAGAGGCUUUUAAACGAGUCACAUCGUUAUAUAAGGUAAGAAGAAGCUAUGGUUGUCUCAGAGCAUUAAACAAGAUUCAAGACCCAAGAAUUAGGAGCUUGCACACUCUUAUAAGCUUCUCUUUAUGGUUCUUAACCUUGCUCAACGAGCUGAGUGUCAGGUAUUGUAAUGAAGAGGAAGAAAAUCACAUGUUUUAUAAUUUUUUUUAAAAAACUUAUAAUUAAGAUAUUUGCAAUAAACCAUCUAAA